rnacentral:rRNA from 1 species
UACGGAGGGGGCUAGCGUUGUUCGGAAUUACUGGGCGUAAAGCGCACGUAGGCGGCUUUGUAAGUCCGUUGUGAAAUCCCUCGGCUCAACCGAGGAACUGCGACGGAUACUGCUUGGCUUGAGUCCCGGAGAGGGUAGCGGAAUUCCCAGUGUAGCGGUGAAAUGCGUAGAGAUCCGGAAGAACACCGGUGGCGAAGGCGGCCUGCUGGGCAGUAUGGCUGACACUGAGGCGCGACAGCGUGGGGAGCAAACAGG